rnacentral:rRNA from 1 species
UACGUAGGGUGCAAGCGUUGUCCGGAAUUAUUGGGCGUAAAGGGCUCGUAGGCGGUUCGUCACGUCGGGAGUGAAAACUCGGAGCUUAACUCCGAGCCUGCUUCCGAUACGGGCAGACUAGAGGUAGGCAGGGGAGAGCGGAACUCCUGGUGUAGCGGUGGAAUGCGCAGAUAUCAGGAGGAACACCGAUGGCGAAGGCAGGAUCUCU